UACGUAGGGGGCGAGCGUUGUUCGGAAUUACUGGGCGUAAAGGGCGCGUAGGCGGCCUGCUAAGUCGAACGUGAAAUCCCUGGGCUCAACCCAGGUACUGCGUCCGAUACUGGUUGGCUUGAAUUCGGGAGAGGGAUGCGGAAUUCCAGGUGUAGCGGUGAAAUGCGUAGAUAUCUGGAGGAACACCGGUGGCGAAGGCGGCAUCCUGGACCGGGAUUGACGCUGAUGCGCGAAAGCCAGGGGAGCAAACGGG
rnacentral:rRNA from 1 species